AUCCAACUGAUGAGUUUCAGAAUAGGACGAAGCGCGCGUCCUGGAU
rnacentral:hammerhead_ribozyme from 1 species